AGAACAGCAUCCCUUUCAGCUGAGAGCUGUAUUUUGGCUUGAGCUGCAAGGGGGAGGAAGGGGACUGCUCUGUCUCCUGUCUGUUUUCCCACUUGGUUGGGUUGUCAGUGUACAGUCUGAAAGAGGUGUGCCCCAAGGAUUCGAAAGGAGAUAAGCCACUGAACUCUAUUAGCACAUGAAAGAAAAAACGGUGGGAGCUUCCAAAGGAUGGCAAAGAUUCAAAACUUGCUCACAGAAGCACAUAGUUGUGGAUGAUUACUGCAGCACACUCCUCCAGCUGGAGGCGUGGCAGUGUAGCAUGAAACGAGAACGGAGCACAAAGUGAUUAAUGCUACUGCCAUUCUUAGUAAGGAAUCCUAUUUUUAGUACAGAUUGGCUUGGAAUAUGCAUGGCUUUAAAAUCAAAGAGCCACUGAAAGGAGAACUCCAGAAAAAGGCACCAGCUGCAGAGAUCAAAGUACGGAUGACCCUGAGACACACAAUGGCAGAUGCUGAAUGGUACAUGGCUGUGAUUUCUGAAGAACUAGCGCCCUGACUCACCUGCAGGACAUCUAGAAAUCCUGGGCAAAUAUCCAGACGCCUGAAAUUCUGCGUAGACACCAUUUUGCAGCAGAAGAGGAGGAACAAACUGUGGAAAACCCUGGGAAUCAGUGCGCUAGCUGCUCUGACUGUUUCACUUUGCUUCAGUUAAUCUAGAAGUGACUUUUCCUCUUCUGCUUUUCAUAGUCCUUUAGAAUAAAUAACAAAAAAAACCUCUUUCCACUGUCAUAUUGAAGCAUGUCUGAGAUCCAAGGCACCUCUCAGAAUGGCCUUUGCUGCAAGAGCAUCUGUUUGGAUGUUGAAGUUUUGGGACAUGGCAUGAAAUUAGAAAUAGCAGCCACAAGACCUGUAGGGAGCAGAGCCGGUGUGCUGUGCUGCUCAGGGUUAGCAGCAAGGACCCCAAGUGACCUCCCUGCUGUCAGCACACGUGGCUGAGGGAGACAGCGAAGUUCACGUGAGAAGGUUCAGGGCAAAGUUGGGCCCAUGCUGAAGACUUCUGAAAAUGCUGCUCUGCAGUUGUGGAUCUGGUGCCAUCACCUCCUGUGAACUCACUGAUGUCUCACCACUGUAAGAGACAGCAAGAUCUGGCAGCUCUGCUCACCUCCAGUGUAAGUGCUUAACAGAUGCCCAUUGGAAACAAGUGCUCAGCAUGGCUGCAGAAGGGGCCCCAUGCUCUUACUAACAAAUAUUGGCAACAUUUCAUGAAGUCGUUGUUCUCUGUUGGGGAUGCAGGGAAAUACAGGUAGUUAACUGCACUCACAUUUGGACACUUUGCAGCCUACUGCAUCCUCAUGUUUGUUUGUUCUUUCUUUCCCCUGUGGUUGUGUCUGUGUGCAAAUCCCUGGGGUUUUAUGAUGUACUCCAGGAAUGUGGAGAGUGAGAGGACCAAGCCCAGCUAGGAGGACUGAAGAAGUUUGUAAUGAGCUCUUGGUUUCAGCAGGAGACAGUGAGGACCUACCAUGAGUUUGGGUGUGGAGGAAAUAUAACAAGACUCUGAGCCAGGGCUGGGUGCCACUGAAAAGCAGCGAAAGCAGAAGUAGAGUUGGUAUGGUCUUGGUGAAGCCACCUGACAAGUCCAUCUGAGGUGGAGCAAAAACAAGCAUUGUAAGGCCAGCCCACAGAAAAGGAGUAAGGUAGUGGAGAGGUGGAGACGGCAGAGGUAGGCAGGGUUAGGAAUGAUGCCUCUGCCUGCCAGUGCAAGGCUGCUCUCGUGCAGCCCAGAAGCUGGGCUUUUGUGCUGGCUUGAACUUAGGAAGUGGAAGGAGAAGGUGUUUUGUGCACAAGCAAGCUCCAUCUGUAUAUGCCAAAGCAUUCAGUUUAUGC
ensembl:lncRNA